GCAGACACAUUCCAGCCAAUCAGCAGCAGACCCUCCCUCCCAGACCCUCCCACUUCCUGGACAGCAUCCAUUUUACAUUCAUUGUGAAGCUGAAUUCUUAGUGAGCUGUCCAGGAGGUGGGAGGGUCUGGGAGGGAGGGUCUGCUGCUGAUUGGCUGGAAUGUGUCUG
rnacentral:miRNA from 1 species